rnacentral:rRNA from 1 species
UACAGAGGUGGCAAGCGUUGUUCGGAAUUACUGGGCGUAAAGGGCUCGUAGGUGGCCAACUAAGUCAGACGUGAAAUCCCCAGGCUCAACUUGGGAACUGCGUCUGAUACUGGAUGGCUUGAAUUCGGGAGAGGGAUGCAGAAUUCCAGGUGUAGCGGUGAAAUGCGUAGAUAUCUGGAGGAAUACCGGUGGCGAAGGCGGCAUCCUGGACCGAGAUUGACACUGAUGAGCGAAAGCUAGGGGAGCAAACGGG